CUCCAUCCCCCUUUUACUUCUCUCUCCCCCGUCUCUCCUCCCUCCCGCCUCCUUUCUCCCUCUCCCCCUCCCUCUCUCCUCUGAAUAAGCAAGCUUUUGCCUCUAAAAGUCACAAGUAAUCCUCGUGUGUGACAGAGAGAGAGAGAGAGAGAGAGAGAGAGAGAGAGAGAGAAACGAGCUGGCGGAGAGGAGCAGAAGGCAGGAGGGGAAAUCUGGCACAACGGCUGGGAGAGGAAACUUGAUGCUUCUGGGCCACCAUUUGCCAGGGCCUCGCUCGAGCCGGCGCCUCGGUUCCUGCCCAGCUGGAUUUGGGGGGCAGCAUUGCCUGGCGCAGGGAGAUCAAAUGAGACUGCAAAGAAGCAUAAAAUGAAUAGACAAUCCAACCAACCAAAGACCGGGGGCAGCAGCAGGCCAGCAAGACGGCAUCUUCUCCUUCCCAGCCUAGAAGCCCUGUGAAAUCGAGGAUCUUCCCCCUAAAACACAUACACACAAGAUAUGUGCAAUCAAGCUGCCACCGCUUGGUAAAAAGCCAUGGUGCCUAACCAAAAAGGAUCAGGAACAGAUCCUUGAAUCAGCUGUCACUUCUAUAGAAUGGGAUUUUUUUUUCCUUCCUCCUUAACCUGCGCUGGAAAUUGCCGUUGGCUUUAUACAUCUCUAUAGAGAGAGGCUAAAGAGUCUUGCGUGAGAAAGAAGCAAUUUACAAUGCAAAUAGAGGCCUGUGAAGGGACGGAUGCUGCUGCUCACUCGUAACAGCUUGCUGCACCUUAAUAGCUGGUUUUAUUUUCUGAUAUUAAUAGAUGAAUUGUUGGCUAACGCUGCCGGAGAUUACUUGCUGAAAGGAAAAAGAAAAGUUCGGAAUAAACUCUGAAGGCAACAGAUCUCGUUUGGAUGUUUUAGCCGCGCACACACACAAACAGAAACCAGGUCAUAUUUACAUAAAAGGAGGAAUCUUAAGCGCGGCAAGUAUCCUGGACGACCACUCUUCGGUACUGCCAGAAAGGAUCAGGACCUGGAGUCUGGCAAGAGGAAGACAGAGGCCUGUGUGGGAAGCGAGUUGUUAUCUUUGGUUAUCUAGCUGUAUGAGUGUAUUGGUCUUCAUAAAGCUAGAUAACCGAAAGUAAAAACUCCUUCAAGAUCGCCGGGGAGCGUGUGAGAAUGAAAGACUACAGCCGAGAGACAGUAAAAACCAGAAAGGUCAGGAAUACUUAUUGAAUCUAACUUUGUUUUUGUUUUGUUUUUUUCCUUAUGAUUAAAGGUGGGAUGAGAGAAAAUUAAAUGACACACACAUGCUAAAAUAUCAAGGUUCCAGAUAUGUCUUGAGAGGGGUUGUUGCAGCUGCAAAGGAGAAGUGUAUAGUGAUAAUGAGUAAAGAUGCAUGUGCAGUUUGUUCUAUUUUAAGGCAAAAGUUAUAUCAGGGAUUUUUUUCUUAGAAAGGUGUUGCAGAGAUGUCUGGUACCUAGUUUAAAAAUGAUUCCAUAAUAUGUAGACUUGGGCAGUUCCUUUGGGAGGCACCUCCCUCUCAAAAUUUGAAGAUUGUGCUUGGAAAUUACUUUACAUGUAUUUGGGCUGUAUGUCAAUUUGUACGAAAUUAGACUUUCAGAAAAGUUUAUACUGGAAGGUUAAUAAUUUGUAUCUACUGAGGACUUAGAGCUAGCAGGCAAAAUGAAAAAAAAAAAAAAAAAAGCAAGGGCUGAUUUUUAUUCUUCUAUUCAAAAUACAAGGACAGAUGCUUCUCUGUUCCAAGAGGGUUUCCUUGAGGAAGCUACUGAAGCAGAAAGACAUGAUGGAGACGAGAUCGCCUCCCCUCUUGUCAAAGUGUUAAAAAAAUGUUCUGUCUUACUCUGCGCCUAGCAUUGGAAAUGAAAGUGACAUUUACGCCACAACCCACGUGUGCGCCUCCUCUCUUUUUGUUUAAGGAUGAUCAGGUCUAUCCAGGAAACAGCUCUGGCAUCCCAAACUGAAAUAAUUAGGACGUAUAUAGACCUGACAAAAAUGGAAAGGGGGUGGGGAAUCUGAGGGUCUGUCUUGCCUAAUUGAUUCCGCUAAACGGAAUGCAGGAGAUGUGAACGGCAGGACGCUCCGAUUCCCACGCUCGGGGGCAAGUGAUAAAGCGGGGCCGGGCAGCCUAUGACAGACAGCCCUGUUGGGGGGUGGGGGUAUGAAAAAAACAUCAAGUGCACACACCAUACUCAUCUCCAUCGCUUAAGAAAGUAAAGGCAUUUCCCACCCACAGCCAUCUGCAGCUUCCCAAAUGGCAGCACCAACUGGUCUGUAGCUGCUACAUAGUCUGCUUCUGUUAAUUUUUUAACCACUGUUUAAUCUGGCCAUAAUUAAGUUUGGCUUUCUUCGUUGUUUGAGAUUUUCAGAAUUCAAGGCAAGCUAGUAGAAAGCAAUUCCAAGAAAGUCCCAUGACUGCCUGCCCCUAAUGUCAAAAUCUCAGUCCAUGAGAUUAUGGCCUUGUGACCACAUUUUUGCUUUUGUUUUGGGUGGGCAAAUGUGUAUAGAGAUAAAAUACAUAUCUCUAUAUAACAGUCGUUAUUAUAAUUUCAUGAGGCUUUUUACCUCUUAACAUGAUACAUCUAGGAACUUGGUCUAAUUGUGCUAGUAGAUAUACACUAGAAGUAAAACUAUAAAGUCAUUAGCCUGUAGAAAGUUGAUUAUGAUAACAAUAUGAUAAAAAGUUUGUUUUGGAAUAGUCUCAGCUAGAUGGGUCUAAAUAGCCAUUUUAAUGUAAUCUAAAAAUAACACUAUGCCUAGCAGAAACUUUGGCGCUUUGGAGGUCCCCAUUGUCGCCUUUUCAUAAAAGUCCUUAAGUUUUCCAUAUGUCACCAAGCAAACAUUUGUAUAGGCAUUUACACAGAAAUAUAACCAUUGCAAUUAGAAAAUAUCCAAAAUAGCCUGUUAUCUUCCACGUGGCCUAGAUUAUUGACAAUCCCAAAUAUACAAUUUUUCUUUAAAAGUAGUACAAUUUCCUUUGUAGCUUCAAUUCCUUAUAUGACUUCAGACUGGAGAAGCCUGUUAAACCACUGUUAGUUUCAGUUAGAAAGUCUGAGAGACUUUAUACAUAAAUUCUCAAUUUGGCUGCUGUACACGUGCCAGAGUUUUACUACUGUAGUGACCGUUGAGAAGACCCUUGUUUAUUUACAUUUGAAGCACUGUUUGUGCAAACAACCUUUCAUUGUUAAGUGCCUGUAUUCCUUUCAUUUACUUCAUGUCCAGGGGUGCUAUUUACCUAGAACCAUUGUCUACUACAAUUAACAUUUACAUUACAAAGUGUGUGGUUUUCUUUUUCAAGGAGGUUCAAUUAAGGCAAUAAGAUGUUUGCUGGAGAAACCUAUUGUUUACUGAAAGCACUCAAUGAAGUCAAAUUACUGAAGCUUUUGCCUACAUCUUGGUCUUUUAUGUAAAUAUGUUAAAUAUAACAUCUAAGGAAAAUAAACAAUAUUAUAAUUAUGUGUUUGCCAUUGUCAUAUCAAACUUGCUUUGUAUCAUACUAAUGUUACAUAACUUAUCGAUCAAUAAAAAUACAUUUCAAUGUU
rnacentral:lncRNA from 1 species